UAUCAUUAACGUUAUACGGGCCUGGCACCCUCUAUGGGUAAUUGGCCUCAUUUAAGAAGGACUUAAAUCGUUAAAAUCUCAUACUAGAUUGAAGACGUUCCAUACACUGCAUCCUCACAUUUGCCAUAAAAACAAAGUGA
rnacentral:rRNA from 1 species